CACGCGUCCGACUAGAGGCAGCAACUCCAUAACUUGCGGAAAGCUUGUUGGAUGAUGACCAUGCCAAUGAUUUUACCGAAGUUAUGCAGUUGCUGCCUCAAGCUUGCUGC
rnacentral:pre_miRNA from 1 species